UUGCAUAUCAAAAAGCGGAGGAAAAGAAACCAACCGGGAUUGCCUUAGUAACGGCGAGUGAAGCGGCAAAAGCUCAAAUUUGAAAUCUGGUACCUUCGGUGCCCGAGUUGUAAUUUGGAGAGGGCAACUUUGGGGCCGUUCCUUGUCUAUGUUCCUUGGAACAGGACGUCAUAGAGGGUGAGAAUCCCGUGUGGCGAGGAGUGCGGUUCUUUGUAAAGUGCCUUCGAAGAGUCGAGUUGUUUGGGAAUGCAGCUCUAAGUGGGUGGUAAAUUCCAUCUAAAGCUAAAUAUUGGCGAGAGACCGAUAGCGAACAAGUACAGUGAUGGAAAGAUGAAAAGAACUUUGAAAAGAGAGUGAAAAAGUACGUGAAAUUGUUGAAAGGGAAGGGCAUUUGAUCAGACAUGGUGUUUUGUGCCCUCUGCUCCUUGUGGGUAGGGGAAUCUCGCAUUUCACUGGGCCAGCAUCAGUUUUGGUGGCAGGAUAAAUCCAUAGGAAUGUAGCUUGCCUCGGUAAGAAUUAUAGCCUGCUGGGAAUACUGCCAGCUGGGUACUGAGGACUGCGACGUAAGUCAAGAUG
rnacentral:rRNA from 1 species